rnacentral:rRNA from 1 species
GACAGAGGUGCCGAGCGUUAGGCGGAAUCGCUGGGCUUAAAGCGUGUGUAGGCGGAUGCCUAAGUACCUUGUGAAAUCCCACGGCUCAACCGUGGAACUGCUUGGUAUGCUGGGUGUCUUGAGCUAUCUAGGGGCAACUGGAACAAACGGUGGAGCGGUGAAAUGUGUAGAUAUCGUUUGGAACGCCAAUGGCGAAAACAGGUUGCUGGGGAUAUGCUGACGCUGAGACACGAAAGCCAGGGGAGCAAACGGG